AAACACUAAAGCACUCAAAUCAAUAUAUUUUUCUAAAUUAUUAUUUUGCAUCAAAAAUUGCAAAGAGAAAAAUAUGAUUCAGUUUCUGUGUACGUUGGCUUUGUCUGCUCUUCCUUUACUUUUCUAUAUUCCACCAAUCAGAAACUUAAAUAAUUUUGUAGAAGCAAUGGAAAAAAUUAGCAGAGAAUCAAGAUUACAUCCGUACAUGUUGAAUCCACAAUUAAGGGUAGGUUGGUUUAGGAUUAUGCAUCGUAUAGUUUCUUUAUAUAUUUAAUUUUGUGCCACCUUGCUCUUGUGGAUUGUAUUUUACUUUAUUCUGUAUCACUUUUGGACAAUCUAAAUGUUAUUGGAGAAUUUGAAUAGAAAACUUUUAUUUGAUGC
rnacentral:lncRNA from 1 species